rnacentral:rRNA from 1 species
UUUUCGCUACCCACGCUUUCGUCCUUCAGCGUCAGUAUAUUGUUAGUAAUCUGCCUUCGCAAUCGGUAUUCUGUGUGAUCUCUAUGCAUUUCACCGCUACACCACACAUUCUAACUACUUCACAAUAACUCAAGUCUUUCAGUAUCAAAGGCAAUUCUACAGUUGAGCUGUAGGAUUUCACCUCUGACUUAAAAGACCGCCUACGGACCCUUUAAACCCAAUGAUUCCGGAUAACGCUUGGAUCCUCCGUAUUACCGCGGCUGCUGGCACGGAGUUAGCCGAUCCUUAUUCGUACAGUACCGUCAAAUACCUACACGUAGGUAUAUUUCUUCCUGUAUAAAAGCAGUUUACAACCCAUAGGGCAGUCUUCCUGCACGCGGCAUGGCUGGAUCAGAGUUGCCUCCAUUGUCCAAUAUUCCUCACUGCUGCCUCCCGUAGGAGUCUGGUCCGUGUCUCAGUACCAGUGUGGGGGGUCUCCCUCUCAGGACCCCUACCUAUCGAAGUCUUGGUAAGCCGUUACCUUACCAACUAACUAAUAGGACGCAUGCCCAUCUUCUACCGCCGGAGCUUUCUUCUUUAAAUAAUGCUAUUCAAAGAUCGUAUGGGGUAUUAUUCAACAUUUCUAUUGACUAUCCCCCUGUAGAAGGUAGGUUGCAUACGCGUUACGCACCCGUGCGCCGGUCGUCAGCGGAUUGCAAGCAAUCCCUGUUACCCCUCGACUUGCAUGUGUUAAGCCUGCCGCUAGCGUUCAUCCUGAGCCAGGAUCAAACUC